rnacentral:rRNA from 1 species
AUGGCCAUGGCCGGGCUCCCUCUCGCCGCGUGCGUUGCCUUCUUCCACCUCUGCCUCCUCCUCUCGCCGUCGUCCUCUCUCCGGCUGCUGCCGGUAGCCCCCGACGCGGCGGGCGAGAGCACGGGACGCAAUGGCAGCAGGACCGCCUACCACUUCCAGCCCGCCAAGAACUGGAUGAACGAUCCGAAUGGUCCCAUGUACCACAACGGCCUGUACCACUUCUUCUACCAGUACAACCCCGACGGCGUGACGUGGGGCAACGGCAACCUCUCGUGGGGCCACUCCGUGUCCGUGGACCUGGUGAACUGGUUCGCGCUCGACGCCGCGCUCCAGCCCAGCCGCUCCUUCGACGCCAACGGCUGCUGGUCGGGCUCCGCCACCAUCCUCCCCGACGGCAGCCCCGUCAUGCUCUACACCGGCAUCGACGCGCGCGGCGACCAGGUCCAGAACGUCGCAUACCCCAAGAACGCCUCCGACCCGCUCCUCGUCGACUGGGUCAAGCCCGAGUACAACCCCGUCAUCCCCGUCCCCGCCGACAUCAAGCGCGACGACUUCCGCGACCCCUCCACGGCCUGGCUCGGCGCCGACGGCGUCUGGCGCAUCGCCGUCGCGGCCCGCGUACAUGACGUUGGGGGUGCCACGCUGAUUUACAGGAGCAAGGACUUCCUGCGAUGGGAGAGGAACGCUGACCCGCUUUACUUGGCCCACGCCGCCGGCAUGGUGGAGUGCCCCGACCUGUUCCCGGUGUCCGAGCCUGGGGUGGAGGUGGGGCUCCCGGCGAGCGGCGCCGGGGCGAGGCACGUGCUCAAGAUGAGCGUGAUGGACACCGUCCAGGACUACUACGUGGUCGGGCGGUACGACGACGCGGCGGACACCUUCGUGCCGGAGGACGACGAGGACUGCCGGAGCUGGCGCCGCCUCGACUACGGCCACGUGUACGCGUCCAAGUCCUUCUUCGACCCCAGCAAGAACCGGCGCGUGCUCUGGGGCUGGGCCAACGAGUCCGACAGCGUGUCCGACGAUCUCGUCAGGGGAUGGUCCGGUGUUCAGACUGUUCCGAGGAAGAUAUGGCUGGACGAGGACGGCAAGCAGCUGCGGCAGUGGCCGGUGGAGGAGAUCGAGACGCUGAGGAGCAAGCGGGUGAACCUGCUGAUACCGGAGGUGAACGCCGGCGGCGUGAACGAGAUCAUCGGCGUGAUGGGCGCGCAGGCGGACGUGGAGGUCGUGUUCGAGGUCCCGCCCCUGGAGCACGCCGACGUCCUGGAGCCCAACUGGCUGCUGGACCCGCAGAGCCUGUGCGGCGAGAAGGGCGCGUCCGUGCCGGGCAGCGUCGGCCCGUUCGGGCUGCUCGUCAUGGCCUCCGGCGACAUGCAGGAGCACACCGCCGUCUUCUUCAGGGUGUUCAGGCAGAACGACAAGUACAAGGUGCUCAUGUGCACCGACCUGUCAAGGUCGAGCACCAGGGACGGCGUGUACAAGCCGCCGUACGGGGCCUUCGUGGACAUGGACAUCGAGGCGCACGGCGGGAUCAUCUCCCUCAGAACGCUGGUUGACCACUCGGUGGUGGAGAGCUUCGGCGGCGGGGGCAGGGCGUGCAUCACGGCGAGGGUGUACCCGGACCACGUCGUGAACGGCAACAGCCACCUGUACGUGUUCAACAACGGCACCGGCGCCGUCAAGGUGUCCAGCCUCGACGCGUGGGAGAUGGCCACGGCGACCGUGAACGUGCUCCCCGACGGCCUGAUCGCGGCGAGCUCGGUGAGCAGGGCUCAAGCCUAUUAG